CCCCUCUACACUACAUCCAGAGAUGGGCCAGGUCAGCGGGAUUAGCUUCCUGUCCAGAACCACCUGCAUUUGCACAGCUUUGUCUUCAGGGAGAGAGCCCUUCUGGUAUCGAGCAUCUAAGUUUCUCGUGUAGCUCUCAGCCGGAAGUUUCAUCUGCAGCUCUGAGAACUCGGGAUUACCACACGGAUGUUGUAAAACACGGGUUUGUCCUGACCAAGGAGGAAAGACAGACCAUUUAGCUCCUGAGAAGGUGUCAGGCUGUUAAGAAGACCCAAAUCCCCACUGGAGGCUGUGCUGGACUGGACUGUAAGCCACAUGAUGUGCCUCCAGGGUAUGACAAAGUCAACCUGAAAACCGGAUUUAGUUCCAAGUUGGAGGUUCUCUACCCACAGAUAGGUGGUUUUAACUGGUCUGGCAUCAACUCAGCAUCUCCCUUCUCUAAAGCUCCCUGAGUGAUUCUCCGGCAAGCCAAAGCUAAGGAGUGCUGAUCUAGUCCAGCCCUUUAACACAGAGUAGGUCGGGAAAGGAGCCCAGGGGCCAGAGACGUGCUCAAGACCACUCGCCGGGGAGUGUUGCUACUGAGUGUGUGUGCUUCCUACUGGAUCCUCUGCAUGCCGGGAAGGGACAGGGACGGGAGGGGUCACCUGUUAGAAGAGACAGGCCAUCCGUAGUGCAGGGGAGGCAUUUAGUCUUGCCCAGUACCUGCUCUAACCAUCGCAUCAUGUGAAAUUGAUCCUUAGAGGGCACGAUCACUAUUGUGAGCUGGAAUCAGGUGAGACUCAUGACAGGAAACAGCCUGCUGUCAUUAGUUAGGAUGAAAUGAAAAGCCA